AAAAUGAAGGAUGGCUGUAUAAUGAGUCCGUUGCAGAAAAGUGUAUUCAGGAAUUUAGAAAUGAGUUUCCUGGGGCCACUUUUAGCGAUGACAUGUUACGAGAAUACGUGCCCCAAUUGGUUGAUCGGCUUCGAGCAACUGGUAGUAUUAGAGAACCGGAAUUACCCAACUUGGAAAUUUUUCUAACCCCCGAAAAAGUACAACAAAUUAGAGCUGUCCUCGAAAAGGACCCAAACAUGCCCCCGAGGAAAUUGUCUAAGGUCGUAGGCCUACCUGCGGCGACUUGUAAAGCGGUCAUGAAAAAACUGAAAAAAUAAAAGUAUAAUUAGUUUUGUAAGGUAAUCAAUAAUUAUCUAAAGUUUAAGUUUAACUAAUAAUGUAGUAACUGUUUUCUUUUCUACGUUUAUAAUUUUGUUGGAAGAAAUAAAAUCCUGUUCAUAUUUAAAUAAA